rnacentral:rRNA from 1 species
ACUCAAAUGAAUUGACGGGGGCCCGCACAAGCGGUGGAGCAUGUGGUUCAAUUCGACGCAACGCGCAGAACCUUACCUGGGUUAAAUCCACUCGAACCUUGCAGAGAUGCGGGGGUGCUCUUCGGAGAGCGAGUGAGAAGGUGCUGCAUGGCUGUCGUCAGCUCGUGUCGUGAGAUGUUGGGUUAAGUCCCGCAACGAGCGCAACCUCUGUCGUUAGUUGCCAGCAUUAAGUUGGGCACUCUAACGAGACUGCCGCCGUCAAGGCGGAGGAAGGCGGAGAUGACGUCAAGUCCUCAUGGCCCUUAUGUCCAGGGCUACACACGUGCUACAAUGGAUGCCACAAAGGGUUGCAAAGCCGCGAGGUGGAGCCAAUCUCAAAAAAGCAUCCUCAGUUCGGAUUGCAGUCUGCAACUCGACUGCAUGAAGCUGGAAUCGCUAGUAAUCCCUGAUCAGCAGGCAGGGGUGAAUACGUUCCCGGGCCUUGUACACACCGCCCGU